UCUCCGUUGGUGAACCAGCGGAGGGAUCAUUACAGAGUUUUCUAAACUCCCAAACCUUUGUGAACUUACCACUGUUGCCUCGGCGGAAGCUAUUGGGGUUACCCUGUAGCGACCGCCGGUGGACCAACCUAACUCUUGUAAUUUUAAGAAAUCUGAGAGUCUUAUAUAAAUAAGUCAAAACUUUCAACAACGGAUCUCUUGGUUCUG
rnacentral:misc_RNA from 1 species